rnacentral:rRNA from 1 species
UGGGGAAUAUUGGGGCAAUGGGCGCAAGCCUGACCCAGCAACGCCGCGUGAAGGAAGAAGGCUUUCGGGUUGUAAACUUCUUUUCUGGGGACGGAAGAAAGUGACGGUACCCAGGAAUAAGCCCACGGCUAACUACGUGCCAGCAGCCGCGGUAAUACGUAGGUGGCAAGCGUUAUCCGGAUUUAUUGGGUGUAAAGGGCGUGUAGGCGGGAGUGCAAGUCAGAUGUGAAAACUAUGGGCUCAACCCAUAGCCUGCAUUUGAAACUGUAUUUCUUGAGUGCUGGAGAGGCAAUCGGAAUUCCGUGUGUAGCGGUGAAAUGCGUAGAUAUACGGAUGAACACCAGUGGCGAAGGCGGAUUGCUGGACAGUAACUGACGCUGAGGCGCGAAAGCGUGGGGAGCAAACAGGAUUAGAUACC